rnacentral:rRNA from 1 species
AUUGAACGCUGGCGGCAGGCCUAACACAUGCAAGUCGAACGAGUGGCGGACGGGUGAGUAAUGUCUGGGAAACUGCCUGAUGGCGGGGGAUAACUACUGGAAACGGUAGCUAAUAACGCAUACCAUCAGAUGUGCCCAGCUGGGAUUAGCGAGGUGGCGGGGUAAUGGCUCACCUAGGCGACGAACCCUAGCUGGUCUGAGAGGCUGACCAGCAACACUGGAAUUGAGACACGGUCCAGACUCCAACGGGAGGCAGAAGUGGGGAAUAUUGCACAAUGGGCGCAAGCCUACGGCAUACAUGCGGCGUGUGUGAAGAAGGCCUUGGGGUUGUAAAGCACUUUCAGCGAGGAGGCGUUACUCGAAGAAGAAGCAACGGCUAACUCCGUGCCAGCAGCCGCGGUAAUUC